UUCAUAAACACUCUCCUUGAAACUCUCCUUCUCUUCCACAUUUUAUCUCUCUCAAAUACUUUGUGAUACUAAUUUUAGCUGGGUAUGAAUCAGUUUUGAGUUUUGAUCAGGUAGAUGUAUUCACUGACUCCGCCUUCAAGGGGAACCUAGCAGCAGUAUGCUUACUCGAGGAAGAAAAAGAUGAAAAUUGGUUGCAAGGUGUAGCUACUUAGUUCAACAUCUCCGAGACCAGCUAUUUUGACUCCCAUCAUCAUUGACUCCGAUGCUUCUAAUUCAAAUCCCAGAUUCCGUCUCAGGUGGUGUACUCCUGUUGCUGAGUUGCUUUGACCGGAACCUAGGGUGGCGACGGCAGACAGUGGCGGACUGGCGGUCCUUGCAGCUUUCAGCUAGGGUUAGGGACUUUUGGGCUCAGCUUGUUUCUUGCCCUUUAUUUUUUAGCUGGCUUCUAUUGGCCUUAGGCUUCUUUUCCUUAAUGUUUUGUGGGCUAUUGUACUUGGUGCAAUGCCUUUUUAAUGUAGCCUUUGUCUUGAAGGGAGAAAAAAAAAAAAAGCUAAGAUCAUAGUUUAUUUCAAACACUAAUCGUUUGGAUUGUAUGAUAUCUUAGGUUUUUUUUUUUAACGAGACUAAUAGUCAAUAACUUAUUUCAAAC